AACGAACGCUGGCGGCAGGCCUAACACAUGCAAGUCGAGCGGGAAAUCACCUUCGGGUGAGAGUAGAGCGGCGCACGGGUGAGUAACGCGUGGGAACCUACCCCAGGGUACGGAAUAACCGCUGGAAACGGCGGCUAAUACCGUAUACGUCCUCCGGGAGAAAGAUUUAUCGCCCUGGGAUGGGCCCGCGUCUGAUUAGUUUGUUGGUGGGGUAACGGCCCACCAAGGCUACGAUCAGUAGCUGGUCUGAGAGGAUGAUCAGCCACACUGGAACUGAGACACGGUCCAGACUCCUACGGGAGGCAGCAGUGGGGAAUAUUGGACAAUGGGCGAAAGCCUGAUCCAGCCAUGCCGCGUGGGUGAAGAAGGCCUUAGGGUUGUAAAGCCCUUUCAGGUGGGAAGAUGAUGACGGUACCACCAGAAGAAGCCCCGGCUAACUUCGUGCCAGCAGCCGCGGUAAUACGAAGGGGGCUAGCGUCGUUCGGAAUUACUGGGCGUAAAGGGCGUGCAGGCGGAUCCGCCAGUCAGAGGUGAAAGCCCCGGGCUUAACCUGGGAAUUGCCUUUGAUACUGUGGAUCUAGAGUCCGGAAAAGGUCGGUGGAAUUUCCAGUGUAGAAGUGAAAUUCGUAGAUAUUGGGAAGAACACCAGUGGCGAAGGCGGC
rnacentral:rRNA from 1 species